rnacentral:rRNA from 1 species
AUGAACGCUGGCGGCGUGCUUAACACAUGCAAGUCGAACGAUGAAGCCCAGCUUGCUGGGUGGAUUAGUGGCGAACGGGUGAGUAACACGUGAGUAACCUGCCCUUGACUCUGGGAUAAGCCCGGGAAACUGGGUCUAAUACCGGAUAGGAGCGCCUGUCGCAUGACGGGUGUUGGAAAGAUUUUUCGGUCAUGGAUGGACUCGCGGCCUAUCAGCUUGUUGGUGAGGUAAUGGCUCACCAAGGCGACGACGGGUAGCCGGCCUGAGAGGGUGACCGGCCACACUGGGACUGAGACACGGCCCAGACUCCUACGGGAGGCAGCAGUGGGGAAUAUUGCACAAUGGGCGGAAGCCUGAUGCAGCGACGCCGCGUGAGGGAUGACGGCCUUCGGGUUGUAAACCUCUUUCAGUAGGGAAGAAGCGAAAGUGACGGUACCUGCAGAAGAAGCACCGGCUAACUACGUG